CGUAGGGGAACCUGCGGCUGGAUCACCUCCUUAACGAAAGAUUGACGAUUGGUAAGAAUCCACAACAAGUUGUUCUUCAUAGAUGUAUCUGAGGGUCUGUAGCUCAGUUGGUUAGAGCACACGCUUGAUAAGCGUGGGGUCACAAGUUCAAGUCUUGUCAGACCCACCAUGACUUUGACUGGUUGAAGUUAUAGAUAAAAGAUACAUGACUGAUGAUGUAAGCUGGGGACUUAGCUUAGUUGGUAGAGCGCCUGCUUUGCACGCAGGAGGUCAGGAGUUCGACUCUCCUAGUCUCCACCAGAACUUAAGAGAAGUUCGGAUUACAGAAAUUAGUAAAUAAAGAUUAAGAUCUUGGUUUAUUAACUUCUGUGAUUUAAGUAUCACGGUAUUAAGCAUGACCUGACGAAGGCAUGUUUAUUCAUUAACAGAUUGGCAAAAUUGAGUCUGAAAUAAAUUGUUCACUCAAGAGUUUAGAUUAAGCAAUUAAUCUAGAUGAAUUGAGAACUAGCAAAUUAACUGAAUCAAGCGUUUUGGUAUAUGAAUUUAGAUUGAAGCUGUACAGUGUUUAAAUACACAGACAACAGAUAGUAGCGAUGAAGAAUCGCACGGACAACACUCACUUGUAAGUGUUGACGACUGUUUGGGGUUGUAUAGUCAAGUAAUUAAGUGCAUGUG
rnacentral:tRNA from 1 species